AGACCCGAAACCCGGUGAUCUAGCCAUGGGCAGGUUGAAGGUUGGGUAACACUAACUGGAGGACCGAACCGACUAAUGUUGAAAAAUUAGCGGAUGACCUGUGGCUGGGGGUGAAAGGCCAAUCAAACCGGGAGAUAGCUGGUUCUCCCCGAAAGCUAUUUAGGUAGCGCCUCGUGAAUUCAUCUCCGGGGGUAGAGCACUGUUUCGGCUAGGGGGCCAUCCCGGCUUACCAACCCGAUGCAAACUGCGAAUACCGGAGAAUGUUAUCACGGGAGACACACGGCGGGUGCUAACGUCCGUCGUGAAGAGGGAAACAACCCAGACCGCCAGCUAAGGUCCCAAAGUCAUGGUUAAGUGGGAAACGAUGUGGGAAGGCCCAGACAGCCAGGAUGUUGGCUUAGAAGCAGCCAUCAUUUAAAGAAAGCGUAAUAGCUCACUGGUCGAGUCGGCCUGCGCGGAAGAUGUAACGGGGCUAAACCAUGCACCGAAGCUGCGGCAGCGAACGUAUCACCCAAGACAACUUUGCGGAGUUGACGAUUGACGGAGCGAAGCGACGUCAAAGCGUUCAUUAAAGUCGAGUUGGCUUAGGGAUACGUUCGUUGGGUAGGGGAGCGUUCUGUAAGCCUGUGAAGGUGGCCUGUGAGGGUUGCUGGAGGUAUCAGAAGUGCGAAUGCUGACAUAAGUAACGAUAAAGCGGGUGAAAAGCCCGCUCGCCGGAAGACCAAGGGUUCCUGUCCAACGUUAAUCGGGGCAGGGUGAGUCGACCCCUAAGGCGAGGCCGAAAGGCGUAGUCGAUGGGAAACGGGUUAAUAUUCCCGUACUUGGUGUUACUGCGAAGGGGGGACGGAGAAGGCUAUGUUGGCCGGGCGACGGUUGUCCCGGUUUAAGCGUGUAGGUGUGUGUUCCAGGUAAAUCCGGUUCACUUUAACACUGAGGCGUGACGACGAGGCACUACGGUGCUGAAGCAACAAAUGCCCUGCUUCCAGGAAAAGCCUCUAAGCAUCAGGUAACAUCAAAUCGUACCCCAAACCGACACAGGUGGUCAGGUAGAGAAUACCAAGGCGCUUGAGAGAACUCGGGUGAAGGAACUAGGCAAAAUGGUGCCGUAACUUCGGGAGAAGGCACGCUGACACGUAGGUGAAGUGAUUUACUCAUGGAGCUGAA
rnacentral:rRNA from 1 species